UAAAAGGCGGUAGGAACUAGAAUGAACAGGGCAGUAGCAAUAAAUGCGAGAAUAGAGACUUCCAUAAUCUCAUAGUUUAAUUUUUUAUUCGAAUU